rnacentral:rRNA from 1 species
AUUGAACGCUGGCGGCAUGCCUUACACAUGCAAGUCGAACGGUAACGCGGGGCAACCUGGCGACGAGUGGCGAACGGGUGAGUAAUGUAUCGGAACGUGCCCAGUUGUGGGGGAUAACUGCUCGAAAGAGCAGCUAAUACCGCAUACGACCUGAGGGUGAAAGCGGGGGAUCGCAAGACCUCGCGCAAUUGGAGCGGCCGAUAUCAGAUUAGGUAGUUGGUGGGGUAAAGGCCCACCAAGCCAACGAUCUGUAGCUGGUCUGAGAGGACGACCAGCCACACUGGGACUGAGACCAGGCCCAGCCUCGUACGGGAGGCAGCAGUGGGGAAUUUUGGACAAGGGACGCAAGUCUUAUCCAGCCAUGCCGCGUGCGGGAAGAAGGCCUUCGGGUUGUAAACCGCUUUUGUCAGGGAAGAAAAGGGCGACUCUAAUACAGUUGCCUCAUGACGGUACCUGAAGAAUAAGCACCGGCUAACUACGUGCCAGCCGCCGCCGUAACAC